CCGGCCAGCCGCCCCGUCCGGGAGGGAGGUGGGGGGGUCAGCCCCCCGCCCGGCCAGCCGCCCCAUCCGGGAGGUGAGGGGCGCUUCUGCCCGGCCGCCCCUACUGGGAAGUGAGGAGCCCCUCUGCCCGGCCACGACCCCGUCUGGGAGGUGUGCCCAGCAGCUCAUUGGGGAUGGGCCAUGAUGACAAUGGCGGUUUUGUGGAAUAGAAAGGCGGGAAGGGUGGGGAAAAAAUUGAGAAAUCGGAUGGUUGCCGGGUCUGUGUGGAUAGAAGUAGACAUGGGAGACUUUUCAUUUUGUUCUGUACUAAGAAAAAUUCUUCUGCCUUGGGAUCCUGUAGAUCUGUGACCUUAUCCCCAACCCUGUGCUCUCUGAAACAUGUGCUGUGUCCACUCAGGGUUAAAUGGAUUAAGGGCGGUGCAAGAUGUGCUUUGUUAAACAGAUGCUUGAAGGCAGCAUGCUCGUUAAGAGUCAUCACCACUCCCUAAUCUUAAGUACCCAGGGACACAAACACUGCGGAAGGCCGCAGGGUCCUCUGCCUAGGAAAACCAGAGACCUUUGUUCACUUGUUUAUCUGCUGACCUUCCCUCCACUAUUGUCCUAUGACCCUGCCAAAUCCCCCUCUGCGAGAAACACCCAAGAAUGAUCAAUAAAAAAAAAAUAAAAAA
rnacentral:lncRNA from 10 species